rnacentral:rRNA from 1 species
GAUGACCGAUAGAGGAGCAGUACCGUGAGGGAAAGGUGAAAAGGACCCCGGGAGGGGAGUGAAAGAGAACCUGAAACCUUGUGCUUACAAGCAGUCAGAGCACGUUAAAGUGUGAUGGCGUACUUUUUGUAGAACGGUCCGGCGAGUUAUAGUAACGAGCAAGCUUAAGGUAUUCAGUACCGGAGGCGAAGCGAAAGCGAGUCUGAAUAGGGCGCAUGAAGUUCGUUGCCAUAGACCCGAAACCGGGUGACCUACGCAUGAGCAGGUUGAAGUGGGGGUGAAACCCCAUGGAGGACCGAACCAACCCCCGUUGCAAUGGUGGUGGAUGACUUGUGCGUAGCGGUGAAAUUCCAAUCGAACUCGGAGAUAGCUGGUUCUCCCCGAAAUAGCUUUAGGGCUAGCGUUAGUUUAGAUUACCGGAGGUAAAGCACUGAAUGGUUUAGGGGCUGAUAAAGUUACCGACGCCUAUCAAACUCUGAAUGCCGGAUAAUUGAUGACUAGCAGUCAGACAGUGUGAGAUAAGUUUCAUUGUCAAAAGGGAAACAGCCCAGACCUACAGCUAAGGUCCCAAAUGUAUGCUAAGUGGAAAACGAUGUGGAAUUGCGAAAACAACCAGGAUGUUGGCUUAGAAGCAGCCACACAUUAAAAGAGUGCGUAAUAGCUCACUGGUCGAGUGACUCUGCGCGGAAAAUGUAACGGGGCUAAGCAUACAACCGAAGCUUAGGAUUGUCUAAAGACAGUGGUAGGGGAGCGUUCUGUAUGGGGUGAAGUCGCAGCGAGAGCAGCGGUGGACUGUACAGAAGUGAGAAUGCCGGAAUGAGUAGCGAGAAUUAUGUGGGAAUCAUAAUGGCCGAAAAUCUAAGGUUUCUUGGGGAAGGUUCGUCCGCCCAAGGUAAGUCGGGAGCUAAGCUCAGGCCGCGAGGCGUAGGCGAUGCACAUACGGUAGAAAUUCCGUAACCACCGAACUUUAAGCAUGAGGGACACUUUGAGAUAGCGGAACCCGGGCGUUGGUUGACCCGGGCGAAAGGGACCGAAAUAUAGUAGGGAAGUCCGCGAUGCUCGGAGGCGAGAAAAGCUCAUGUGUAUACUAAGGUGCCCGUACCGCAAACCGACACAGGUAGAUGAGGAGAGAAUCCUAAGGCCAACGGGAGAAGGGUUGUUAAGGAACUCGGCAAGAUGACCCCGUAACUUCGGAAGAAGGGGAGCCUCGAAAGAGGCCGCAGUGAAUAGGCCCAAGCAACUGUUUACCAAAAACACAGGUUUAUGCUAAAUCGAAAGAUGACGUAUAUGAGCUGACGCCUGCCCGGUGCCGGAAGGUUAAGAGGAGAUGUCAACCGCAAGGUGAAGCAUUGAAUUGAAGCCCCGGUAAACGGCGGCCGUAACUAUAACGGUCCUAAGGUAGCGAAAUUCCUUGUCAGGUAAGUUCUGACCCGCACGAA